rnacentral:rRNA from 1 species
ACAUGUCUCGUAUGGUUUCCAGAGAUGGAUUCCUUCAGUUCGGCUGGCGAGAACACAGGUGUUGCAUGGCUGUCGUCAGCUCGUGUCGUGAGAUGUUGGGUUAAGUCCCGCAACGAGCGCAACCCUCGCCUUUAGUUGCCAUCAUUUAGUUGGGCACUCUAGAGGGACUGCCGGUGAUAAGCCGGAGGAAGGUGGGGAUGACGUCAAGUCCUCAUGGCCCUUACGGGUUGGGCUACACACGUGCUACAAUGGCGGCGACAAUGGGCAGCGAAGGGGCGACCCGGUGCAAAUCCCAAAAAGCCAUCUCAGUUCGGAUUGUACUCUGCAACUCGAGUGCAUGAAGGUGGAAUCGCUAGUAAUCGCGUAACAGCAUGACGCGGUGAAUACGUUCCCGGGCCUUGUACACACCGCCCGUCACACCAUGGGAGUUGGUUUUACCCGAAGCUGGCGCGCUAACCGCAAGGAGGCAGCCAACCACGGUAAGGUCAGCGACUGGGGUGAAGUCGUAACAAGGUAGCCCUAGGGGAACCUGGGACUGAUCACCUCGUUAAGCUUGGAUCCCGGGAAUCGAAUUCCCGCG